rnacentral:lncRNA from 1 species
AAUAAUAUAAAAAUACGAUAUUUCUUAUUGCUUAUCAAGUUGAGAUUUUGAUAUCUUUUUACAAAUCAAGCGAAUGUCAUGCCCAGGUAAAGGUCCAGACUGCAAUAUUUAAAAAAAAACAGUUUCCAGUUUUGCUUCUAAUUUACUACUUUACCAUAAAUAAGCCAUUUUAACAACUCUAGUUUGUUCUUAUAAUAUGUGAAUAUAAACUGUGUUUUCAUAACUCCCUUUAGGUCUAAAAUUGUGUGAGUCAAAGGCAUAAUUUUGGGUUAGAACUGACCAAAGGUUUUAAUAUAUCUAGAUCAAUAUUAUGUUCUGAAAUAAUUCACAUAUCAAAUACCUAUUUUGUAUCAUAAAUGUCAUGUUGAUUUUUAAAUCUUUUUAAUGUUUAAAUACAAUAUGCAUGUUAUUUUUAAAACGUUAAAUAUUCUGUACAUAUUCUUGGCUAGUCUUCUACCUAUAGACUCUUUGAAAUAUAUGCUCUUGAGUUAAUGAUGCCUCCUCCAAAUAUUCUUGGAAUUCAACUUUUAAAUUGUGUUAAAAAUGCAUUUUAAUAGUGGCAUAAAGUGGUUUUUUUCUUGGGACUUUUUUUUGGAGACAUCCCAAGACAUAAUUGGUAAAUAAUGCAGAUAAUCAAGCAUACAGAGGUUGUCUAAUUAAAAAUAAUAUAUGCUGACAAAAAGCAAUAAAUAUUAUUUGUGUGUGUAUAGCUUAUAUUUGAUUGUAAAAGCAAUUUCAAAAGAUCAUUUGGAAAAAAAUAGGGAAAAACCUAGUUAAUGUUCUACCUGUAAAAAUGUUCAAUAUUUAAAAGGUUAGCAAAUUAUUCCUCACCAACUGCCAGAAUGAAGGAAUCAACAUCAUCCCUUUUUGUUACCCCAUUAGGGAGCAUAGAUCAGUGAAGACAUGAUGACAAAUUAGUUUUACAUUGUCCAUAUAGUAGGAUCUCUCUCCACAUAGAAGAAAAUUAUAAUUAUUUACUAAAUGUAUGUGGUUGAUUUCUUGAAACUAUCAUAUAUAUGAUAGUCAUGUGUCACUUCAUGACUGAACUAUGGCCUAUUACUCCUAGGCUACACAACUGUAUAGCAUGUUACUGUGCUGAAUAUCAUAGACAAUUGUAAUACUAUGGUAGUAUUUAUGUUUGCAAACAUAUCUAAACAUAGAAAAUGUAUAGUAAAAAUACAAUAUUAUAAUUUCGUGGGACCACCAUUAUAUAUGCAAUUUAUUGUUGACCAAAAUGAGAUAUUUCUUCAUAGAUCUUUCAUGCUUCUGCAUAUCUUACUGUAUGUGCCUGGAAUGCAAGUCCCAGACAACUCUUUACCUGGUUCAUUUCUCAGGUCUGAAUUCCCAGUGAGCAACCUUGAGGAAUAAGGUAACAUCUCCCUCUGGGACAAAGAGCAAGCUUGCUUCCUCCUAACUAUAAAAGUGAUGAAUUCCCAAAGCUCAGUACUCUUCAGCUGUAAUACAAACUCAGUGCAGAUGCAGUGUUUAUUUGAAUCCAUAUUGCUUUCUCCCUUUGGGACUUUCAGGGAACCAAACUGAUACAAACAUGCUCAUUUACCUGGUACUGCCUAUGCUGUGAAUAUUUAUAAUCAUUUGUCUCUGAACUUGGAGCCUUUUGUCUUCUUCCAGCAUCUAUGAUACUAACAGCAUAACUUAUUAACUUGUAAAGAGGCUAAAAUAUAAUAUCAGACCUGGAAAACUUGCUGUUUUGUGAAUUUCUUUCUGUGAGACUUCAGAAAUAAUAUUUUAACAUUUUAUAAUGUUAUCCAUGAUAUGCCUCUAUGUUUAAUAUAGUUUAUGGCUCUAGCUUAUUAGACUUAUUCAAAAAACAAGGUAAGUACUAGAAAGUCAUAUAGAAUUAUUACCAACCAUUAUAUAGCAUUAAGUAAAAUAUUUGAUUUUAUAAUUAUUUUAAAUGGGUAUCUCUUUUUCAUGAUGAAUUUUGGAGACUAUCAGGGCAGGUAGAAGCAUAUUUUUUGACAAAGGCCUUCUCCACUUGACAUUUAAUAAUGAUGUAAAUAUUACUUUAUUUGUAGAUUUAGCGUCAGACUCUGUUUAUAUGAUGGUAACUUAUCUUGCCUCUUAAAUAAAAUUAAUUAAAUAAUCUGUCUGGUAUCUUAUUUAACUGGUCCUGUAAUAAG